AUUGAACGCUGGCGGCAUGCCUUACACAUGCAAGUCGAACGGCAGCACGGGUGCUUGCGCCUGGUGGCGAGUGGCGAACGGGUGAGUAAUACAUCGGAACAUGUCCUAUAGUGGGGGAUAGCCCGGCGAAAGCCGGAUUAAUACCGCAUACGAUCUACGGAUGAAAGCGGGGGACCUUCGGGCCUCGCGCGAUAGGGUUGGCCGAUGGCUGAUUAGCUAGUUGGUGGGGUAAAGGCCUACCAAGGCGACGAUCAGUAGAUGGUCUGAGAGGACGACCAGCCACACUGGGACUGAGACACGGCCCAGACUCCUACGGGAGGCAGCAGUGGGGAAUUUUGGACAAUGGGCGAAAGCCUGAUCCAGCAAUGCCGCGUGUGUGAAGAAGGCCUUCGGGUUGUAAAGCACUUUUGUCCGGAAAGAAAUCCUUGGCUCUAAUACAGUCGGGGGAUGACGGUACCGGAAGAAUAAGCACCGGCUAACUACGUG
rnacentral:rRNA from 1 species